UGCGCUUGUGACUGCAAGGCUAGAGUACGGCAGAGGGGGGUGGAAUUCCACGUGUAGCAGUGAAAUGCGUAGAGAUGUGGAGGAACACCGAUGGCGAAGGCAGCCCCCUGGGCCGAUACUGACGCUCAUGCACGAAAGCGUGGGUAGCAAACAGGAUUAGAUACCCUGGUAGUCCACGCCCUAAACGAUGUCAACUAGGUGUUGGGUGGGUAAAACCAUUUAGUACCGUAGCUAACGCGUGAAGUUGACCGCCUGGGGAGUACGGCCGCAAGGUUAAAACUCAAAGGAAUUGACGGGGACCCGCACAAGCGGUGGAUGAUGUGGAUUAAUUCGAUGCAACGCGAAAAACCUUACCUACCCUUGACAUGUCCGGAAGCCUGAAGAGAUUUGGGUGUGCCCGAAAGGGAACCGGAACACAGGUGCUGCAUGGCUGUCGUCAGCUCGUGUCGUGAGAUGUUGGGUUAAGUCCCGCAACGAGCGCAACCCUUGUCGUUAAUUGCCAUCAUUUAGUUGGGCACUUUAACGAGACUGCCGGUGACAAACCGGAGGAAGGUGGGGAUGACGUCAAGUCCUCAUGGCCCUUAUGGGUAGGGCUUCACACGUCAUACAAUGGUCGGUACAGAGGGUUGCCAAGCCGCGAGGUGGAGCCAAUCCCAGAAAGCCGAUCGUAGUCCGGAUCGCAGGCUGCAACUCGCCUGCGUGAAGUCGGAAUCGCUAGUAAUCGCGGAUCAGCAUGUCGCGGUGAAUACGUUCCCGGGUCUUGUACACACCGCCCGUCACACCAUGGGAGCGGGUUCCGCCAGAAGUAGGUAGCCUAACCGCAAGGGGGGCGCUUACCACGGCGGGGUUCGUGACUGGGGUGAAGUCGUAACAAGGUAA
rnacentral:rRNA from 1 species